CCGCCUCCUUGCGCACUCCGGCACUCGCGCCCGCUCCUCCCGCACGCGCGCCCCGUCCUCACCUCUCUCCUCCUCCAAACCCUACCCCGCGCCCGCCUCCCUGAACUGCCGCCGGCACCGCCGCCGCCGCUCGCCCGGGCACCCAUCCCCGGCCUCACGCCACCCAUCUAGAGAGAUGGCGGCCGCGCACGACGAGGUCGGCCUAGCCGCCGCCUCCUUCUCCCGCGACCGCGCCGCCCUCUCCUCCUUCCUCCCGCCUCCCUGCCGUGCCGCCCCGCCGCCUCCUCCCUCGCUCGCUUCCUCUCCUCCCGCAGCCGCCUCCCCCCUCCCUCACUCGCUCCUAAUCCGGCGACGGCGGUAGCGGCUGCCGCGCCCACACCCAUCUGCUCCCCGCCGCCAUCACCUCCAGUAAUGUCGCUGCUCCCGUCGAGCUCGAGCGUUCCAUCGCCAGGAGGAGCGGAGGUUGCCGCAACAGCAGCUGCUCGGACGUCUCUCCCUCGGCGGUGCCGGAUCCAGUGUCCACCAUCGUUGACAUUUGUGCGCUCUUGCUGCUGUAGAUUUGAUGCACCGCCACCUCCUCUGCUCUCUUCUCCUCCCUCCGGGGUUGGUUUGGGUGCAGGGGUGGUUAUUCUUGGGUGUUAGCCGUUUUAAUCCCGCUGCACAAUUAGAUGUACAGUAUCGUCAGAGAGAAACAGGAACAUGCAGCUUGAGCUUGUUCAAGUGGAUGGAGUUGUUUCCUGUUCCUGCAUCCGCAUUCGUGGGAUGGCACGCAAUAGCAGCAGCGAGUGCGGCGGCUUAGUGGAUGCGUGAGUAGUUGUGGGAUGGCGCAACUGUUAGCUUGAUCGUGUCCGGCUGAAUCGUUAUUUCAGUUAGCUUGUAACACUGGCAGACUAUAAAUAAGAUGAGGGCAAACUCUGUUUUUCUUGUUCCAGAGAGAGACACACAUGGAUGGUACAACUGUUGGGUUCUUUAUUUGUAUCACCUGCAACAAAUUCAUCGACCGAGCUAGCUUCCAACUCGUUCUUGCCAUGGUUGUUGGUUGGUCCUACCUAGGCAAAAUCUCAAUCCAUUGUCUUGGUUCAGUUUACAUAGGGUUCUCCAUGCCCAAGAUGAGAAAAUCUUGCUGUCAAUUUGUUUGAUGCCACAAUUGGCGUUAUUUUCUUACCAUUAUAUUAUAUUUGCCACUGAAUGUUCAACCUUUAAUAUUUGCUUUUGCAAAGCCAGGCUUUAUGUACUGUUUGCUUGUGUUUGCUUUCUGUGCUGCAAAAGUAGCUCAUUCAUUCAUCGCUGAUUUGGCACGUGCGACCAAUGUGCACAUGCUGCAUUUAGAUUCCAGCCUAACUCUUAGCUUUCAGUUGAAGCCUUUUAGACCAAGCCAUCUCGGUUUCUUGUGUUUUCGCCUAACUAGCUUUUUAUUCUUCUUCUUCAGGUUUUCAAGGCGGUUUUGUGUAGAACAGCCACGGAGCAGAAACAACGAACAUGCUACUUCAGCAACAGCGUGGCACUUUUGCUUGUGUCUUGUUAUCUUUUUGAUAGCCUGUAUCACUGAUGGCCUUCCAUUGGCGGAGUGCUUAGAUGGUGGUUAUGUGAAGGAUGUUGUCUUCUACAAGUAGCAAGAAAAAUUGUUGUUCAAAAACAUAUCUAAAGGCCAACAUGAAUCAUCAAGACUGUCAACUGAGACUGGACCAUACCGUUCCAGGUCAAGGUAUGCAUUUACAUUUUUUGCUUUCAGCAAGAUGAGGAUAAUGUGAUUGUUUGUGUGCGUGCGUGCUAUAUGAUACAUUUUCGCUUUCAUCAAGAUGAGGAUAUUGUGACUAUUUGUGUGCGUGCGUGCUAUAUGAUACAUUUUUGCUUUCAUCAAGAUGAGGAUACUGUGAAUGUUUGUGUGGGUGCUUUAGUGGUUCUAGGUUAUUGUAGUAGUAUAACUAGGCUUCGUUUACACAAAAUCCAAAUAGAAUUUAGUUUGGAGCUGGUCAAGACAUGGUGUAGUAUUAUAACCUAUUAAUUUGGUUGGACUGGUCAAGUGUUCUAUUAAUUCUUGCUGCAGUAUUCAUUAUGUAGUAUGUACUAGCUCUUAGACAAGAUAAUUGUUUAGCCUCUGAUUUCUUAGCUACUGGUUGGUCCUGUAAAGCUACAUCCUUGCUUUUCGAUUAGUGUUAUUUGAAUCUAUUGCAGUGGAUAUGCAUAAAAGAUCCGCUAAUUUGGGUUUUUUUCCAUUACUUAUCAUGUGAUGGCCAUUGUCGGAGCUUUGCCGCCUUCAUCUCGACUCCACCGGGGUUCCAGGUUCACACUUCACCGCUCUCCCCCUGUGGCCCGGUGAUUUGCGGCGGCUGCGGGGUCUUCCCUGCUUUGGUGGUGGCCGGCAGGCGUUUGCCCGGCCAGAUCUGGCACGGUGCAGGACCUGUGGUGCAUGUCCUGGUUUAUGGGGGCGGGGGACACAUGGGCCCUUGGUCCGGCAGCGUCGGCAGCACGAUGUGCGCCCGUCUGCUUUCUUGCUAGAUACGUGUUUAGGCAAAAUCUACAAUAAUCCUUCAAGGUUUAUACAUCAAUUGCAAUGGGUUUUAGGAAUGCAUCACUAUAUUGAUUUUGGUUUAUACGUGAUCUGCAGAGAGUUUUAUAAAUGUAUCAUUAUAUUGUUUUGGGUUUAAAUAUGAAUUGCAAAAUGUUUUAGGCAUGUGAAAAUCAGAGCUCAGGCGGCAGGUGAUUUUUUUUCUUGCUUCUAAUGCUAGGAUGAUGUUCUGUAUACUAAAAAGGACUCGUGCACACUUGCUUUGCUCCUUAGUGUUUAUGAUCAGUUACCAAACAUUAUAAUAGGAUAUACACAUUGCUUCAAAACUGAGUAUGUUCCUUGGUGAUGGUGUAUUUAUUAUGAAAAUAAAUAGGACUGCUUACCCAUGGUGAUGUGGUAUUGCUACUCGAUUACUUACCCUGUUUCUGUGACAAAGGCCUGUGAUAGAUAUGGUUAGACACAUAUUGAGCGCCCAAUUUCAUAAAUAUUGAGCAUACAGUUUCAACUUCAACUUAAACAUGAGAUUGUCUUGCUGUCGAGUUGUGUUCAGUUCUUUCCAUGUAGAACUUACUAGAAAUUCUUGCAUAUAUCCUAAACAAAUAAAGAGCUGCAUGCAUUUAAAUUAAGCAGUUCCAAAGAAAGAAUUAUUUCAAGUUAUUUUGUUUGGAGAUGAGUUGCCUUUUCUACACCUUUGUGUAAAGGAUGGAGCCUCCACAGUGCCUAUGAGCCAUGCUUUUUCCCACCCAGUAAAAUGGUCUAUUUUCAAGUGGCAUCAUACGGUGAAGGAGGGGAUCUGGAUCAAGAGCCGUAAUGGUGCUUGUGAUGGCAUGUCUAGCACUUGCGCGACCCUGGAGUCUGACUUCUUCUUGCAAGUUGACCAUACUAUUGUGAGAAUCUCAGCCAGGAUCAUUCUUUAUAUCAUGUUGGAUCAUCUUGGAAUUCAUAGAGCCAUUUACCGUCGAAGGAUGUACUCACAGAACAAAUCAGUGUGAUUAUGCUUUUCUACACUUCUGUCCAAAGUAAUGGGAUAUGUAUUCUGUACUGUACAACUACCCUCUAAUGCACUACUCAGCCUUCAAUCUCUGUAUGUACAAAUGACUUGAUCUAAUUAUUAUGAACGACAUAUGGAGUGUGCUGCUUUCUAUA